CACAACCAUCACCUCAUCCAUUUUCACACUCAAACUCAAAAACUAUCCAUCUCAAGUCUUUACACUUAAUCAAUUACCAUACUAUUUCCCCACCCACCAUCGUUCUCUCACACACAAGAGCCAAAUAUGGUGACGGAGCAUCUGCUAUGGUGGUGAUUAAGGUGACACGACCGAGCUUCCGGAAUCCCCAUGAUAAAGUGGCAUUUGCCGGUUUCUUUUCAGCUGGACACAUCCUUCACUGAACUGGUCCCAUGGCCUUUGAAAACGAUGUCCUCUCACCGCCCCAAUCGGUAACAUAAUGCCUUUUAGUUAUUUUUCUACUUUCCAUCCAUAUUUUUACACCCUUGAGAGAUUUGGGCUUUGUUUUUCCAUUCUGUUUGGUUGAUGAUUUUUUUUAAAGUUAAAAUAUAGUAGCGUGGAAUUGGACUCUGAAUUGGAGCAUGAAAAUGUAAUUUGAAUCACUAAGAAAGAAAAAUUUAGUAUUUGCUAUGUUUAUGUAUAAAAGAAUCCAUAAAUAGCCACGUAAUCUCGUGAAUUUUGAAAAAUCCGAGAUAAGGAGAAGUUGUCUUGAAUGACUUAUUGCCCCUCUCAAAGUUAACCUUCAAGGCAGACCUCAAAUUUUGCUUCUAUCAGAGCCUAUAUUAAAUUAUAGCAGCUCAAACUAACAAGUUUAAAAAGAUACACUAUCAAAUUUAACAAGCUGGCCAUAAAUUCAAAGAAAGUGGGGGAAAUUGUGGAAUCAGAGAGGAAAGGCGAAGAAAACAUUUCAGAAUAUUUCUAGUCUUUGAGCUGCGCAGAGACCGAUACAGAGAGGUCUCUGUGCAGUGCGGGGCUCCUGGAUUAUAUGGGUCUGAUGACAGAAUUCAGGGUUGUAUGGCUAAACUCGGCGUUCCACUCACUAAAGAACUCGAUUUUCAUUUGAUUUUUUUCAUCCCUUUAAUUUUUUAAGUUCUUUUUCUUGGGUUGUUUUUGCCAGCACUUCAUUUCUUAGAUAUUAACUAGAUAUACAUGCUUAUAAAUGUAAGAAAAAAUAAUGGAGCUCAUGGAUUGUAUGGGUCUACUGAUGGAAUGCAGGCUUGUAUGGCUAAACUUGAUGUUCCAUUCACUAAAGAACUCGAUUUUCACCAGUUAAUAUUUUUGAUUUUUUCAUCCCUUUACUGUUUUUUUAUUCUUUUCAAGUCUUUUUCUGGGUUUUUUUGCCGACUGCAUUUGUUAGAUAUUAAAUAGAUGUUCGCUCUUAUAAAUAAAAAAAUAGAGCUCGUGGAUUGUAUGGAUCUGCUGAUAGAAUGCAGGAUUGUUUGUAAUCUCAUUACCUCUCUACUUAUUGACAUUAAUUUGAUUAUAUGUAUAUGCUGGAUUCAUAUCCAAGUUGAUAUAAGCAAUGUAUGACUGCAAACAUCAUAUGCUAACUCUGCUUUAUAUAAAAGAUUCCAGCUGCAAUUGAUGGUUUUGAUUAUUACCAUAAUUAUUACAGCUUAGAACUCUUUAAUUGAUUGGUUUAUUUUGAUGAAUCUCUAUUCUAUUGUUUUUUUGCCACUACUUGCAGAUGUUCAUUAUGGAUCAAAACCUUUUGAUCGAGGCUCUUUAACCAUCUCAGAUCUGCAUCUCAUUGUGAUCCCUUUUACAAAGAUGAGUUUCCUCUUUGCUUGGCAUAAUUUUAUGAACUUAUGUAUAUUUUCAAGUGUAAUAUGCUUUAGUUGCAUGAAUUGUGAUAGGACAUCUAAAAUAAAUAGGGGAGUAAUUAUGCGUUAUCACUUUUGUCAUCAACUAGGCAAUUAGUUUACACUUGUUUUGGAUUUCAGUGACCUUUAUUGAUUAUUGCAUUAUUGUAGGCAUUAGCCAAUUACUAGCCAAUUACUAGAGCAAUAAUUGUAAUUUAAUAUCUAUUAGUCAUGAUGGCUUGUUAUUUACGCAGGCUGUCUCACUCAUCGCAUCCUAUCUACAAGUUCCUUUGUGUUAUCCUUUACAACUAGGAGUUCUCGAUCAUAUAUACAUGAUUAUGCACCUGUAAUUGAUCAUUCAAUGUCCAAUUCAAACUCUUAUUCAAUAAGUUUGACAAGUUUGAAGUCGGUAGAAUUCUCUCUCUAUAUAGAAGGUCGAGAGUUCACAAGAGCAUCUUAUGCUAUGUUCUUGUUAAAUAAGGCGCAUAGCACUUCUUAAUUUUUUAGUGUGUCAAAUAAUAUUGGAACAUAUGCGUAAUUUUUGGAGCAUUAUAAAAUAGUCUACUAAUGGUCUUACAUUAAUUUUCUGUUAUACAAGGCUCAGAGCUCUGCAUAUAAAUUUUUCUUGUUCAUUUUGUAACAAUCCCCAUUUUUGUGUUUUUGCACACGAGUGUUGAUUCUUUUUACCUGAUGUGCAGAUCUGAAUGGUGGUGUGAGCUCAUUACUCAGCUUCUAAAAUUUUCUAGCAUCUAUCAUUCAACGAAUAUUCUUACUUAAAUUAAGCAAAAGAUUUUGAUUCUAAAGUAAUUUGUUAAAAUAAUGAUAUUAUCUACUUUUUGUAACUGCAUUUGAUUGUGGAAAGGAUCUUUGGAGAGGUGCUGAAAUUUAUAUAAGCAUUUAUCUUCUAUCAUCCACCAACAUGAUUUUAAUUAAAUAUUAAACUGUAUAACUAACUUGUUAUUAGAUGACAUUGAAUUUAUUUAUAUCCAGUUUCGAUUUUUUGCACAUAGUUUGCAAUCGAAUUCAUCACAAAUUACAUUGCUAUUUCUGUGCCGUGACAUGACCUUCUCUAUGUUAAUCGAUGACCUUUUUGUAAGAUUUAGAGCAAUACGGAGAGGCAUGCCUCUCUACGCUGCGCGGAGAGUGCACGCACAAAGCACUUUCUGUGUUGCACGGUUAGUGCUCUUUUUUUCUUUUUCUCAUUUCUUUAAACUAACAUCUCCAAUUCCUCAGUUUUUACAGAAAUUUUGAGGGUAUCCAUUUUCGGUGAAAUUUUAGUCGAAUUUGAUUGCAAACGUGACAAUGAACAAAACUCAACAGGAAAAGCAGCUUUGUUGCUGAUGUGGGGCCAAUUUUGGGCAAAUUCUUUCGUUUACGUCUUCGUUUAUGCAUUGUUUCCUUUUUAGAAAAUUUUGUUUCUGUUAUAUCUCGAUCAAUUCAAGUUGGAUUUGAAUUUCAUUUGUUGUAGAAUAAUUCUUAAGAGUAGG
rnacentral:lncRNA from 1 species